GGUGGAAAUUCUUUGCCUCCUUUCCCACCUUGCACUCUAAGGACAGCACUGGCUCGAUAUGCUGAUCUUCUGAGCUCACCGAAAAAGUCUGCCUUACUUGCUUUGGCUGCUCAUGCAUCUGAUCCAACUGAACCUGAUCGAUUAAGACACCUUGCAUCGCCUGCUGGAAAGGAUGAAUAUGCACAAUGGAUAGUUGCAAGUCAGAGAAGCUUCCUUGAUACUGUCGAG